rnacentral:piRNA from 1 species
UGUCGCUUAUUCCUUCUGUAGCACGCA